rnacentral:rRNA from 1 species
GACGAACGCUGGCGGCGUGCCUAAUACAUGCAAGUCGAGCGCAGGAAACUGACAGAACUCUUCGGAGGGAAGGCAGCGGAAUGAGCGGCGGACGGGUGAGUAACACGUAAGGAACCUGCCUCAAGGAUUGGGAUAACUCCGAGAAAUCGGAGCUAAUACCGGAUAGUUCAUCGGACCGCAUGGUCCGUUGAUGAAAGGCGCUCCGGCGUCACCUUGAGAUGGCCUUGCGGUGCAUUAGCUAGUUGGUGGGGUAACGGCCCACCAAGGCGACGAUGCAGAGCCGACCUGGGAGGGUGAUCGGCCACACUGGGACUGAGACACGGCCCAGACUCCUACGGGUGGCAGCAGUAGGGAAUCUUCCACAAUGGACGAAAGUCUGAUGGAGCAACGCCGCGUGAGUGAUGAAGGUUUUCGGAUCGUAAAACUCUGUUGUAAGGGAAGAACACGUACGAGAGGGAAUGCUCGUACCUUGACGGUACCUUACGAGAAAGCCACGGCUAACUACGUGCCAGCAGCCGCCGUAAUAC